GGGUCGCUAGUGUAGCGGCCGAAUAUCUGGCGUUUGGGACGCCAGGCCAGUGGUUCGAAUCCACUGUGACCCA
rfam:Halorientalis sp. IM1011, complete genome.